rnacentral:rRNA from 1 species
UACGUAGGGGGCUAGCGUUGUCCGGAUUCAUUGGGCGUAAAGCGCGUGUAGGCGGCAUGGCAAGUCGGGUGUGAAAGCCCUCAGCUCAACUGAGGAAGUGCGCCCGAAACUGCUUUGCUUGAGUGCUGGAGAGGGUCGCGGAAUUCCCCAAGUAGAGGUGAAAUUCGUAGAUAUGGGGAGGAACACCGGUGGCGAAGGCGGCGACCUGGACAGUAACUGACGCUGAGACGCGAAAGCGUGGGUAGCAAACAGG